AUGGAUACGGCACCGUCGCCGCCGCCGCCACGCGCGGCCGGUCUCCUUCUCCGGCCAUCCGCCGCCCACUUCUCCUUCCUCUUGCUGCGGCCAUCUUAUGUCGCCGCCGCCGGCUUAAAACGGUGUUCCGACCGCCGGCUCCUCGGUACCCUACACCUCCAUGGAAGUCCGGAUCUCGCCGCCAUACUGAACUCUCCGGCUCUCUCCCCACCCUGA
rnacentral:rRNA from 1 species